rnacentral:rRNA from 1 species
CCUACGGGCGGCUGCAGUGGGGAAUAUUGCACAAUGGGCGCAAGCCUGAUGCAGCCAUGCCGCGUGUGUGAAGAAGGCCUUCGGGUUGUAAAGCACUUUCAGCGGGGAGGAAGGCGGUGAGGUUAAUAACCUCAUCGAUUGACGUUACCCGCAGAAGAAGCACCGGCUAACUCCGUGCCAGCAGCCGCGGUAAUACGGAGGGUGCAAGCGUUAAUCGGAAUUACUGGGCGCAAAGCGCACGCAGGCGGUCUGUCAAGUCGGAUGUGAAAUCCCCGGGCUCAACCUGGGAACUGCAUUCGAAACUGGCAGGCUAGAGUCUUGUAGAGGGGGGUAGAAUGCCAGGUGUAGCGGUGAAAUGCGUAGAGAUCUGGAGGAAUACCGGUGGCGAAGGCGGCCCCCUGGACAAAGACUGACGCUCAGGUGCGAAAGCGUGGGGAGCAAACAGGAUUAGAUACCCGAGUAGUC